CCCCCCCUCCCAUCAACUUGUUUUCUUUUUACAGAAAAUUAAAAAUAUACCACCUUUUUGAUUCAACUUCAGUUCCUGUCUUCCUCUGCUCUUCCUCACAACUUGCAUCUUGGAUUAGUUUUACCACGUUAUUAUGUUGGUGGUUAUGGAGCCGGAGUUUUUGACUGAAGGUAUGGGCCUAAUUCUUCCUUUAAUAUGAUUUGGCUGUUGCACACUUUGUUUGGGGUCUGGAUGAAGAUCAUUAGAAU
rnacentral:lncRNA from 1 species